AAUGUCACAUUAUAUUAAGGUUUCAAAAAUGUCAGCUGUUAUUGUUAAGGAUCAGUCAAAGUGGGAUUGAAAAAUAUCUUAACUUCAGUUUGAUUGUACAUGAUCAGAAAUUCUUAAUUAUGUGUAUGUGCUAGGCACACUAGACUACACUGUACAAAACAAUAUCAAGUCUACAAAUAAAAUAUUGGAGUGAGUUGUUCAUUAGUGUGUUUGUUUUAACUGUUGGUCAGAGGGUGAUUUGAAAAAAUAUCUUUACAGUUUAUAUCAACCAGUUCUACACUGAGUAACUUAAAAGUUUUCACAUAAGCUGCUGUUAAGACCUUUGUAAAUUUGGUUGUUAUUUAUUAAAUGAAAACAACACAAAACAAAGACAUUUUAAAUAUGUGUUCAUAAGAAGAAGGUUGAAAUAAUGAUUCUGUAUGUGAUCGUCUGUGGUGGAAGAAAUACUCAAACUUUUUACUGAAGUAUAAUAAACAACACAAGUUAAAAUCCUGCAUUCUAACAUUGACUUAACUGAUAGUGUUUAUUGUGCAGUUCACAGUAACAUACUACUGCUUCAGUGAUUAGUUGAUAGACACACAAUUAAUAAUCAUUUUACUUUUUCCUAAAUAUUUGUUGUUGUUGGUUCUUCAGGAGGUGAUGACAGUCAACUGUUCAUUUUCUGAAACAGCCUCUAAUGUUUGUUACAUGUUGUGGUUCAGCUGAUGUUUAACAUUUCUCUGUGCUUUCAUGGUGAAACUGUUGAUGAGGAAUAGGUAGUAGUGUAUUGAUCAUUUUCCUUUGAAUGUUUUUCUGUGAUUUCCUCCAGGUGUCACCAGUUCGUCCACAACAUCAUCUACGAUCGCAGAGACAUGGUCCAUGAUCGGAGAGACAUUGUUGAGGAUGAGGGAGACAUCGUCCUCGAUCAGAGACAUUGUCCACGAUCGCAGAGACCUUGUCAAAGACGAGGGAGACGUUGUCCAUGAUCAGAGACAUUGUCCCAUGCUUCGUAGAGACCUUGCGAUAGAAUCGGCGGAGACGGGGGUCACCGAUUUGACGGCAUUGCCCGCGAUCAUGGAGACAUUGUCGAUGAUCAUAGAGACGCCGUCUAUGAUCUCAGAGACAUCGUCCACGAUCACAAAGACAUUGGCCAUGAUCACAGAGACUUUGUCCAUAAUCUCAGAGACAUUGUCCGCGAUCACAGAGACGUAGUCCACGAUCACAGAGAGUCUUCGUACAGUGAUGAAGUUCUUUGAGACCAGGACAGAGGCCUCCAGGUGUCACCAGUUCGUCCACAACAUCAUCUACGAUCGCAGAGACAUGGUCCAUGAUCGGAGAGACAUUGUUGAGGAUGAGGGAGACAUCGUCCUCGAUCAGAGACAUUGUCCACGAUCGCAGAGACCUUGUCAAAGACGAGGGAGACGUUGUCCAUGAUCAGAGACAUUGUCCCAUGCUUCGUAGAGACCUUGCGAUAGAAUCGGCGGAGACGGGGGUCACCGAUUUGACGGCAUUGCCCGCGAUCAUGGAGACAUUGUCGAUGAUCAUAGAGACGCCGUCUAUGAUCUCAGAGACAUCGUCCACGAUCACAAAGACAUUGGCCAUGAUCACAGAGACUUUGUCCAUAAUCUCAGAGACAUUGUCCGCGAUCACAGAGACGUAGUCCACGAUCACAGAGAGUCUUCGUACAGUGAUGAAGUUCUUUGAGACCAGGACAGAGGCCUCCAGGUGUCACCAGUUCGUCCACAACAUCAUCUACGAUCGCAGAGACAUGGUCCAUGAUCGGAGAGACAUUGUUGAGGAAGAGGGAGACAUCGUCCUCGAUCAGAGACAUUGUCCACGAUCGCAGAGACCUUGUCAAAGACGAGGGAGACGUUGUCCAUGAUCAGAGACAUUGUCCCAUGCUUCGUAGAGACCUUGCGAUAGAAUCGGCGGAGACGGGGGUCACCGAUUUGACGGCAUUGCCCGCGAUCAUGGAGACAUUGUCGAUGAUCAUAGAGACGCCGUCUAUGAUCUCAGAGACAUCGUCCACGAUCACAAAGACAUUGGCCAUGAUCACAGAGACUUUGUCCAUAAUCUCAGAGACAUUGUCCGCGAUCACAGAGACGUAGUCCACGAUCACAGAGAGUCUUCGUACAGUGAUGAAGUUCUUUGAGACCAGGACAGAGGCCUCCAGGUGUCACCAGUUCGUCCACAUCUACGAUCGCAGAGACAUGGUCCAUGAUCGGAGAGACAUUGUUGAGGAUGAGGGAGACAUCGUCCUCGAUCAGGGACAUUGUCCACGAUCGCAGCGACUUUGUCAAAGAUGAGGGAGACGUUGUCCAUGAUCAGAGACAUUGUCCCAUGCUUCGUAGAGACCUUGCGAUAGAAUCGGCGGAGACGGGGGUCACCGAUUUGACGGCAUUGCCCGCGAUCAUGGAGACAUUGUCGAUGAUCAUAGAGACGCCGUCUAUGAUCUCAGAGACAUCGUCCACGAUCACAAAGACAUUGGCCAUGAUCACAGAGACUUUGUCCAUAAUCUCAGAGACAUUGUCCGCGAUCACAGAGACGUAGUCCACGAUCACAGAGAGUCUUCGUAUGGUGAAGUUCUUUGAGACCAGGACAGAGGCCUCCAGAAGGAGAAGACGACAGCAGUUGAAGACCUGAAGUGGAUGAAAGAAAACAAAAACGUUAUGAAGCUGUUAAUUAGAUAAAAGAUCUCUACCAUCUAUAAUUUAGACAUGGGCACAUUUUCCAAAGACUAAUGUGUCUUUAAACACCUGUAAGAACUUUCAACUGCUUAUGAUAAAAUUAUUUAAUUAAUAAUUGUACCACAGGCAGUGAUGAUCACAAAGAUGCUUAGUAGACAUGUUCAUCUUUGUAAAAUGUGCUCAUAACUACAUUAACCCUAACCAGUGUUUCCUUGUGGUCAAAUGCUGUGAUUUGUUAAAUGUUGUCUGGAAUAAAGUCAU